GAACGGCCGAGGGGUCGAGUCUCGGGCUGGCCGGAGGAGCAGCUUUCACAGCGGGACAAGAGAGAGCACACAGCGGGCAGUUAGUCAGUCAGGACAAGCAGACAGAAGAAGCACAUAGAUAUAACACACACAGAUUGACUGAGGGCGGCAUCGACAUGGAGGGCAUCCGGAAGCCGGCAGGCAGCGUCUCCAUGGAGCCCGCCAUCAUGCCCAGACCCACGCCUCCUUCACGGGCACGAAACCUCUUACGCCACGAUGGAGAGCGACGAAAAGACUUGUCAUCUCCACUCUGCAGGUGAUAAGGAGGACAAGAGAGGGAUCUGCAGAAUGAGCGCGAGGCUGCUGUAGUCGAAGGUCUCAUCCAGAGAGAUGAGCGAUCCGUGGACGCCGCUCUCCAACAGGUUGCCGCUGUACUCCCUCAAACCAAUGGACAGAACCCAGUGGAUCACCUGCUCAUUGGUCCACACCAACACAUCUGAAGUAAAAGAUAGCGGCUCAGACUCAAGCGUCGAGCUGCUCCUGCAGCAUGAGAGCGAGAGUCUGAGCGUCAGAUUGGCCGCUGGGGGAGAGCAGGGUCGAGCUAACGUCAUCAUCCAGGUCUGACUCUGCCUCGAUGUCGCUGCCGAGGAGGUGGCUGACGCUCCCGCGCAGAGACGGGUAGUCCUGUUCAAACAUAGCACAAAC